ensembl:snoRNA Gm23225 predicted gene, 23225
UGUGCCUAGAGGCCUUGCAUGUGUGGCUCCUGUGUCAUGGCAGACAGGAGAAAGGCUAUGUCUAAGCCCAGUGUUCUGGCUUGUGAACAUAUGAAUGAUUAAUAUCCUAACACU